rnacentral:rRNA from 1 species
AACGAACGCUGGCGGCAUGCCUAACACAUGCAAGUCGAACGAGACCUUCGGGUCUAGUGGCGCACGGGUGCGUAACGCGUGGGAAUCUGCCCUUAGGUUCGGAAUAACUCCCCGAAAGGGGUGCUAAUACCGGCUAAUGUCUUCGGACCAAAGAUUUAUCGCCUUUGGAUGGGCCCGCGUUGGAUUAGCUAGUUGGUAGGGUAAAAGCCUACCAAGGCGACGAUCCAUAGCUGGUCUGAGAGGAUGAUCAGCCACACUGGGACUGAGACACGGCCCAGACUCCUACGGGAGGCAGCAGUGGGGAAUAUUGGACAAUGGGCGAAAGCCUGAUCCAGCAAUGCCGCGUGAGUGAUGAAGGCCUUAGGGUUGUAAAGCUCUUUUACCCGGGAUGAUAAUGACAGUACCGGGAGAAUAAGCUCCGGCUAACUCCGUG